rnacentral:rRNA from 1 species
AACGAACGCUGGCGGCAUGCCUAACACAUGCAAGUCGAACGAGACCUUCGGGUCUAGUGGCGCACGGGUGCGUAACGCGUGGGAACCUGCCCUUAGGUUCGGAAUAACUCCCCGAAAGGGGUGCUAAUACCGGACAAUGUCUUCGGACCAAAGAUUUAUCGCCUUUGGAUGGGCCCGCGUUGGAUUAGCUAGUUGGUAGGGUAAAAGCCUACCAAGGCGACGAUCCAUAGCUGGUCUGAGAGGAUGAUCAGCCACACUGGGACUGAGACACGGCCCAGACUCCUACGGGAAGCAGCAGUGGGGAAUAUUGGACAAUGGGCGAAAGCCUGAUCCAGCAAUGCCGCGUGAGUGAUGAAGGCCUUAGGGUUGUAAAGCUCUUUUACCCGGGAUGAUAAUGACAGUACCGGGAGAAUAAGCUCCGGCUAACUCCGUG